UUCCCUCCCCUAUCAUAUCCCUUCACGAUGUGCCUUUGCUGCUCCUCCCAUCAACAGAUGGAGUCUAUUUCUCCACCCCUUGAAUCCACGCUGGUCUUGCGACUUGGCCAAUAGAACGUGGUGCAACCAAGUCCAGGCCUCAAGAGGCCCAGCACACUUCCAUUGCUCCCUUGGAAACCCGUCCAACCUGUGCUGUGAACAUGCCUGGGCCAGCCUCCCAGAGGAGGCGAGAAUGCAAAGCAGAAGGAGCCGUUCCCGCUGAGACCAUCGGGACCAGCUAGUGCCCAGAUGAGCCAGCAGCUCCCUCCAGAUGCAGGGGUGAGGCCCAUUUGAGGCCAGCUGAGCCCAGUCCAGAUCCAAAGAACCAUUCAGACCAUCCACAGACUUUUCUGGAACUGGGAAGUUCAAGGCUGAGGAGCUGCAUCUGGUGAGGGUCUUCUUGCUGGUGGCCUUCUUCUGCAGAGUCCUGAGGUGCUGCAGGGGAUCUUGUGGCAGAGUACUGCUGUGACAAACCACCACAAACCGUGUGGCCAACAACACAGAAAUUCAUCCUCUCAUGGCUCUGGGGGCCAGAAGUCCAAUGUCAAGGUGUCAGAUGCUCAGUGAGGACGCACCUGAGGUUCCAGUCCUGACAGCAAAGGUGACCGCCCUGGACCUCAGUCAGCUCAUCUGCAGAAUGGCUAGGUGAGCUCAAGGGUUUCUUCCUUCUGGCACAUUCCCAGCGCAAAUCCUGUCGGUCCCUCGGCAUCUAUGCUGCUGAUUUGGGUCUACUCCAGGGCUUUACAAAUAUACAUAUCUCUAAGCAUAGAACAUAUAUUUUAUUGUAGUAAAAUACACAUAACAUAAAAUUCACCAUUUUAACCUUUUUGUUUUGUUUUGAGCCAGGGUCUCUCUCUGUCACCCAGGCUGGAGUGCAGUGGCACCAUCACGGCUCACUGCAGCCUCCACCCGCCUCAGCCUCCUGAGUAGUCAGGACCACAGGUAUGCAUCACCACACCCAGCUAACUCUUGUAUUUUUUUUUGUAGAGAUGAAGUCUCAUUAUGUUGCCCAGGCUGGUCUCAAACUCCUGGGCUCAAGCAAUCCACCUGCCUCAGCUUCCCGAAGUGGGAUUACAGGUGUGAGCCACCGUGCCUGGCCCCACUUUAACCAUUUUUAAGUGUGGAAUUCAGUGGCAUUAAGCACACUCAUAUGGUUGUGUAACCAUCACCAUUAUCCAUAUCAUCUUUCACAAAGAUGAAAUAAGAAGACUCAUUCUCAGGCCCCUCGGGCCUCAGAGUGUCCUUCAUGGGUAAAGCAUCUUAUAGAAGAUGCCUCUACUACAGAGCUCACUAUCCUGGUGGAGAUGUGAAGAUCAGGAUGUUAGAAAAGGAGGCAGACAGGACUGAGGAUGGUGGUGAAUCCAAAGCAAUACCCCCGGCUCCUCCUCCUGCAGGAUCUGCCCUGUCUUGUCACCAUGUCUUCUCCUUGCUGUCCACCCGUGUUCUUUUUUCCCCUCUAGACCAGAAGUUCUUAAAGCCUGGUCCCUGGACCAGCAACAUCAGUACCUCCUGGGAGCUUGUUAGAAAAGCAGAUUUUCUGUGCUCACCCCUACCCACUGAAUCAGAAAUGAGGGUGAGGUGUGGUGGCUGUUUCACAGCCCUCCCGGGAUUCUGAUCCAUGCUAAAGAGUGGGAAGCACUGCUCCGGAUCUGCAGAGAAAUCCUGCUUUCAAAGAACUCACUAACGCCCCUACAAAACUACAAUUUUUAUGACUAGAAGCUCUGUGAAUACCUUAAACAAGGAAGCUGACAGAUUUAGUAAGAUCGCGUAGGUCAUGAUCGCAAAUGGGCUGCCCAAGGGCACGUCUUUCCCUUGGGUUUGUGCAUUUGUCCUGCACACAAUUAAAAACAUUUAACUAGUUGCCAGUAUUAAAGAAAUAGAAACUUCCACGUAGAAAUUCAGAUUUUGGCAUUAUUUGAAAUAAUACUGUCUGGCAGUCCUGAUAUGUCUUGGCCUAGGUCCAAGCAUGGGCCACCAUGACUCGAUGCAGGGACUGCCAGGCAGCCCAAGUCCCCCUACGCCCCAAGGCAAGUCCGCCUGGUGAGCCCACCCCCCCAUUUUUAUCUGCACUGACUGCUGUAGGGCUUUCGAGUUGUCAACCUCUGUAUGUGAAGGGGGACCACAAACUGUAGCCCUCUGUGAUUGUUAAUGUUAUAUGUCAGCUUGGCUAGGCCACGGCAUCCAAAUAUUUGGUCAAACACUAGUCUAGAUGUUGUGAAGGUAAUUUCUUUUAGGUGAGAGUAACAGUUAUAUCAGUGGACUUUGAUGAAAGCAGAUUGCCCUCCAUAAUGUGGGUGGGCCUCAUCCAAUCAGUUGAAGGCCUUCAAAGAAAAAAGACUGACUCCCUGCAGGAAGAGGGAGUUCUGCCAGCCUCCACGGUCACAUAAGCCAAUUCCUUAAAAUAAGCCCCUCUCUCUCUCUCUCUCCUCCUCUCUCCACACAUGCAUACAAAACACACACACACACACACACACACACACACACACACACAAAUGGUUCUAUGUCUCUGUAGAAUCCUGACGAACAACCCAUGCUGUGAGUAUUAUUAUUUGUUGGUGACCCUGGACCAUUCAGGCACCAAGAGGUGCAGGAACUCUUCUUCCGUUUGCUGGCAGCUCUUAGGGAUACACGCUCAUUCAAACCAUGCCCUCAGAGAUGGAGGCUGCAAAGCUAAUGAGUAGUAUUAUAAUAUUAAUAACAAGAAAUAAAUAAUC
rnacentral:lncRNA from 1 species